GAUGAACGCUGGCGGCGUGCCUAAUACAUGCAAGUCGAGCGAACAGACGAGGAGCUUGCUCCUCUGACGUUAGCGGCGGACGGGUGAGUAACACGUGGAUAACCUACCUAUAAGACUGGGAUAACUUCGGGAAACCGGAGCUAAUACCGGAUAAUAUAUUGAACCGCAUGGUUCAAUAGUGAAAGACGGUUUUGCUGUCACUUAUAGAUGGAUCCGCGCCGCAUUAGCUAGUUGGUAAGGUAACGGCUUACCAAGGCAACGAUGCGUAGCCGACCUGAGAGGGUGAUCGGCCAAACUGGAACUGAGACACGGUCCAAACUCCUACGGGAGGCAGCAGUAGGGAAUCUUCCGCAAUGGGCGAAAGCCUGACGGAGCAGCGCCGCGUGAGUGAUGAAGGUCUUCGGAUCGUAAAACUCUGUUAUUAGGGAAGAACAAAUGUGUAAGUAACUAUGCACGUCUUGACGGUACCUAAUCAGAAAGCCACGGCUAACUACGU
rnacentral:rRNA from 1 species